CCCUACCCUCCCCCCCCCCACUCCGGCAAUAUCCCAGCUGUCUUUGUCGAUCUCUUCAUAGAUCUGAGAAUGUUUUGCAAACCACGUUUGCCAUGACUCUACCUCUCGUCCCCAGGCUCAUGUUUUCAAACCAAAUGCUCAGAACGGAGUGCAGUGCAGCUCAGAGAGCCACAGUGAGAAAAGAGAAGCAAUCAUAAAAGAAAGUCCACAAGCUCCCACUACAACAUCUAUCCACCCACCAGCAUCUGGGCCACGCACUGCUUUCUCUCCUGUUAUGUGUACAAAACACCUGUGACCCCAGCACAGACAACCCCUCCACUUGGACACUAGAUCGUGGCCCUUCUCACCUAAUGAAGGACACACCUCCAGCACUGCUGAGAGCCCUUAAUGAUGACACGGGCUGUGUGGUAUAAUAGCAAAAACCCAGGAAAACCUCUAUGUCUGCCACUAGGAGACUGGUCGAAUAUACUGCAGUACAAACAAUGGAAAAUACAGUUUUCAAAAAAACAAACAAAAGAAAGCUCUUUCUGUAUAAAUAUGGGAAAAUCUCCAAGACCUAUUGGUAGUUUUAAAAAGUAAGGUGCUGGACAGUGUAUAUCCAGUGUGUAUGUAGUACCACUUGUGUAAAACAAGGGGGAAGGAGAGUACACACACACAUAUUUGCUUAUAUAUGUAUAAAAUAUCUCUGCAAGAACACAGAGAAACCGCUAAGACUGUGGUCACUGGGGAGGGGGCAAAGACAGAAGGAAGGCACGCUCAUUGUGCAUGCUUUUGAAUUCCCAACUGUGUGAAUGUAUUACCUAUUCAAAAAAUAAAUUUAAAUAAAUGCAGGCUGGCAACAAGAAA